UACGUAGGGGGCAAGCGUUGUCCGGAUUUAUUGGGCGUAAAGAGCGUGUAGGCGGCCAGGUAGGUCCGUUGUGAAAACUGGAGGCUUAACCUCCAGCUGUCGAUGGAAACCAUCUGGCUAGAGUCCGGAAGAGGAGAGUGGAAUUCCUGGUGUAGCGGUGAAAUGCGCAGAUAUCAGGAAGAACACCCGUGGCGAAGGCGGCUCUCUGGGGACGGUACUGACGCUGAGACGCGAAAAGCUGGGGGAGCGAACAGG
rnacentral:rRNA from 1 species